rnacentral:lncRNA from 1 species
AUCCAUUUUCAUUGAGAUACUUGUCCUCUUCACAUCAUUAGAGAAGCAUCUCUAUUAUUUUCUUUGUUUAUAUAUCCACAUUUGUUUAUUUCCACAAAAGCAAGGCUACAUUCCAUCAUUCCUCCAUUAUAUAAUUCAUUAUACCAUCCCUUCCAUCAUGUUCCACCUCCAUCUCCUCACUUCUCCAUUAUAAAAUUCCUUCUUCCCUUCUUCCACAAUACCUUCCACAG